AGCACCCUCCUGACCCACUCCGCACCAGGAAGAACAGGGCAGCACAGCCCCGUCCGCAGCACUGAGCACCUCCCCGGGAAGAGAGCGUUUAUGGGACUGGGGAGGGUGUUUAGAGCAUAGGAGAUGGAGAUCCGGGCAGGAAGGAGGUGCCUCUGUUCCCCCGUCGAAAGGGGAAGCUGAAACAACGAUAAAAUAGCGCCCAUCCCCUGCACCCAGUGGUGCGAGCCCCAUGCACAGCACAGCCCCACUGAGCACGGGCUGCGCAACUACUGGGCUCGGAGUCACGCAGAGCUCCCAGAGCAUGCUCAGGAGCUGCUGCUUUGGGUUUAAAGGCAUUGGGAAGGGCUCCCCCCUUGCUUGGGGGGGUCUGGCUGUUGCCCCCCAUCCUCCACACCCCCCAAGUGGCUGUCAGGACGAGACCCAGGCUGCAGGCUGGCACAGCGUCCCUGCCUGCUCCUCCAGUUUGGCUCAGCCAGCAGCUGAGUCAGAAGAACUGCUUGGGGAAGAACCUGGAGAGGUUUGGGAAGCAGUUAGAAAGAGAAGCCAGGAAGCCUAAGACAACAAAAAAUGUGCCUUUAAGCCAAAGGCCUUCAAAAGCCUCCAGAGUCCUGUUUGUUUGUGGAGAAGCUCACAAGAAUCCUGGCAUCGCUUGGAUUCUGAGACCAGCUGCCUGCUCUGCCCUUCCUCCAGGAAUCCUCCUCACACCUACAAAUCUGAGCUCUUUACACGAGGAGCUGUUGUUGGAUCCUGUGCCCACGUUAUGGUAAAGAACUGUGCUGGCAGACAAAUGGAUUCUGAGUCAGGUCACAAGGUGAAGAAGUUUUCCUGUUCUGAAAACUGAAGGAUAUCGGUGACUGAAGAAGAUGCUCAUCUCACAAACGUGGCAGUGCAAAAUCCUUGUGCCUGAUGACAAUCCCGGGAGGUGAUUCCUACAGCCUGUGCCCCGCUGCUUGCCCUGGGGGCUCUGCCCACCCUCAUGGGAAAGCAUUUCUUCCUAAGACUUCACCUCCGUCUCCCCUCUUUCAGCUUCAAACCGUUCUCCUCAUCCUCUCCCCGCACGGUCUGAUCAAGAGCCCCUCCCCAGUUUCCCUGGAGCCCCUUCUUUCCAUACUGGAAGCUGCUCUAAGGUUUCUCUGAAGCCUCUUCUUCUCCAGGCUGAAAAACCCCAAUUCUCCCAGCCUGUCUAGAUUUGAUUCUAGGUGUUUUUUGGUUUAAAUAUGGCUUUUCUCUAUGGCCAAGUGACAAGUAGGUGUGAUCAAAGUUCAGCUGAAAUGCUCAGAAUAAUAUCUGCUCCAUAUGGAACUCGAAUAUUGCAACAAGUGGGAAACCAGGAGUGCAACUGCCUUGUCAUUACAGGAGUUGAGGAAACCAGAAAGAGCAGAUAGCUCUUCAGAAAUGACAAGCAGAGAGGAUUAUUGUUCUUUUAACCUUAAUCACGUGAAGUGCAUGCAGCAUGAUAGGUAAGGAAAUGUCCCUUAGGUGUUAUUUGUGUUGACGGUGCUCUCCUACCAAAUGUCUGGUCUGUUUUUUUUUUUAACCUCUCACCUCUAACAAGACACUGUGGCUGCUCUGCUUGUUACAGCCCCGUGUCCUCUCUGCAUCAGCCCCAUAUUCCACGUGGUGCAACCAAGGAGAGCUUUAUUUCAAAUCAGCAAAUUGGUGCAGCUCAGCUGUGGUCUUGGAUAGCUUCAUUUGCCCAAUCCACAGCCUAAACCUGAUUAUCAGUUAGGCAUGUAAAGCACUGGAGUAACUUCAGUUGGUCAGAAAACAAAUGAAUCGGAGUGGAAGCCCUUGGUGUCAUCACAGAGCUCAGAUAUCGCUGCUGGGCUCUCAUAGAAGAGCUACGCAAACACUGUGUUACGCUAGGAAACCAUUCCCAGGAGACAUGUACACUCCACCACUAAAAAAAGGGUUAAUGCUCCUUCUGUGAAUCCUCAUCAGCAUUUACUGCUUCAGCCAGAUUUGGGUUUUCACUUGCAUGUCUUUCUGGAAGCUAGAGGUUUUUUUUUUUCUUUAGUGCCAUCAAGAACAGGAAUAGAAACUUUGCAAUAAGCUCAGAAUGUUCUUUGGCUCAGCACAUGGGAAAGAGAUUUGGGGUUGGAUUUCCUCUUGCUUCACCCUUACUCCUGCCUGCUAGCAGGGUAAUGAUUUUUGUAGACAAGCGUUUCUCUUAGCUGAACCAUUGGCAAAACUGCCCGUUUCUCCCUAAUUUACUGUCGCAUCUCCUCUCAGCUGGCUUCUGGAGUGGGAUGCCUCACCUUCCCUCACUGCCAGCAGCCAAGAAGCCUUGUAAACUGAAAGACACAGUUCAUAUUGCAGACAGGGAGAGCAGGCGGGCCAGGAUGUUUAUUGCCUUCUAAGGGUUUUUACUAAGCUAUUUGGAAUGAUGGUCUGGUUACAUGUCUGUAUUGGCAACUGAUUGCAAUACCCUAACCUUUCCAGCAAUUAAAUGAUGAAUUACCAGACACAGAGUAAAACAAGCAAGUGUGCUGCCGCUUCAAAGUGGGAAAACAAAGCAGCGUGGGGCUGCGAAGGGAAAGGAGUCUGUGUCAGACGUGCACAAGAGCUCUCUUUCUGCAUUGUGCCUCCCACACUCACCGCUUCUGGAGCGCUCUGUUCCAGGCAGCUCAUCUCGCAGCACUUUGUGAUUGACUUUACAACUGUGCUACCCUCAGAUAUUAAUAGUAGAAAGAUGUUCACUGCUUUCAGCUGUUCAGCUUUGUCUCGGAUUGUCCGGGAGCUUAUUCCUGAGAGCAGAUAAUUGUCAUUGCUCAGGUACUUCAUGGAAGUGCAGAAUGAUUUGGGCUGGAUGGGACCUCAAAGCCCAUCCAGUUUCACCCUCUGCCAUGGGCAGGGACACCUCCCACUGGAUCUGGUUGCUUCAAGCCCCAUCCAACCUGUCCUUGAACACCUCCAGGGAUGAGGCAGCCACCACUGCUCUGGGCAACCUGGGCCAGGGCCUUCCCACCCUCACAGCAAAACAUUUCUCCCCAAGAUCUCAUCUCAAUCUCCCCUCUUUCAGCUGAGAACCAUUCCCCUCGUCCUCUUCUUGCCCCCUCUGAUCAAGAGUCCCUCCUCAGCUUUCCUGGAGCACCUUUCAGUACUGAAAGGACUUUUCCGAGUCUGGAAGCUGCAAUAGGAAAUAUUGAACUUGAGCUUAAUGGCUGACACAGGACAUGAGUGAUGCUGGCUUCUCGGCUGCCCGUCAGUGCUUGCCUGGCUUGGUUCAGUACCAUGUAAGAAAAUAAAGGGUGUAAGCACGUUCUACUCAGCAAAACAAAACUUUUAAGGGGAGACGGGCACCUGAUCCUCCUACUGCUACUCCUAUGGAAACGCAUCAGAGCAGAAACCCUGUUGCCAUGACGCUGCAAAAUGAACCUCACCACGGUGUGUUGGGAGCAGCUGCCGAGUAGUUCUUCCUUCGGGUUGUCCAACACGGGGACUUGGCACCGUGCUGCCGCUUGCUUCCGGGGGAGAUGGGGUGUUCUGAACAGGCUGCGGGCAAGGCAGUUCAGGUAAGAAGUCCACAUUAUUUGUAAUCAGUGUAUCUGGAACUUAAACCCAAGAGGACAGUCUCACUGCCUCCAGUUGUAUGUUAUGGGUACAUGGUGUUACCUACAGAACUUUAAAACUCGGAUCACACGACAUAGUUGGCUUUUAGAUUUAACCCUCCCCCAGUUGUAAGAAGUCUGGAAGAGGGUGUUUUUGGAACUCUGCAUAAUCAAAAGAGUAUGCAGGACUGGAGAAGGCAGUGGAAGAAGCACCUCUCACCUGGCAGGCUGGAAGAUGCUCCAGGAGCCAGGAAACUAGUGGUGCCAUGUUUAGGUUUUCAUGGCUGUGCAGGGUACGGCAUGGGGAGGGUCAGGCGCAGCUCCACACUGAGCGGGUGAAUUGUGACCAAAUGGGCUUGGCAGGACCAGACCCUUCCUUGUACACAGAAAGAAAUCAAACUCACCGUAGCCCAGUACUAAUUAUGAUUAAUUUCUUUCAAAUCAUCUUAUGGGCUUAACUGAGUUGUGCUGGGGUGGCAAGUUCAGACUACAGAGGGCAGUGCAGGAGACAAU